CGGGUGAGUAACACGUGGGUAACCUGCCCCGAUGAUUGGGACAACCCGAGGAAACUCGGGCUAAUACCGAAUGUGCCCUCUGACCGCAAGGUCGCUGGGGAAAGGAAGCUUCGGCCUCCGCAUCGGGAUGGGCCCGCGGCCCAUUAGCUUGUUGGUGAGGUAACGGCUCACCAAGGAAAAGAUGGGUAGCUGGUCUGAGAGGACGAUCAGCCACACUGGGACUGAGACACGGCCCAG
rnacentral:rRNA from 1 species